rnacentral:rRNA from 1 species
GACAGAGGGGGCAAGCGUUGCUCGGAAUUACUGGGCGUAAAGGGCGCGUAGGCGGGCUGUCAAGUCUGGGGUGAAAUCCCACGGCUCAACCGUGGAACUGCCUUAGAUACUGACGGCCUCGAGGGAGAUAGGGGCGAGCGGAACUGUGAGUGGAGCGGUGAAAUGCGUUGAUAUUCACAGGAACUCCGGUGGCGAAGGCGGCUCGCUGGAUCUUUUCUGACGCUGAGGCGCGAAAGCUAGGGGAGCAAACAGG